GCCCUCAUAGCUCAGUUGGAUAGAGCAGCGCUUUCCUAAAGCGCAGGCCGCAGGUUCGAGCCCUGCUGGGGGCG
rnacentral:tRNA from 1 species